UCCCUUUGAAAUCCGAGGAAGACAAGCACCUUCACUGUGACCGAAUCCGGUAAGGCAAAUCUCUCCUCUCUUAUUUGUCGACAACCACUCAUAUCUACAUCCUCUCACUAGACCCUUUAAAGGUGGUUUGUGCUCCUGGUGUGGAAGCCAUAACCAUAUGAAGAUGGAUUAUAGAAAUCUCAUAACAUGUUUUUGUUAUUGCCAACUUGAUCGUUCAACCAAAACAUGC
rnacentral:lncRNA from 1 species